GAAAAAAAAGAGAGAAAAGUUCCAGAAGGAAAACUGUUUUGUCCAAUCACGGCUCUCAUUUCAGUGACUGACUGUCCUAAGAGCCAAUGUUAGCAGCACUCUCAUAAGGCCCGCCCACAGGCUGCGCCGGCGCUGUUGCACUGCGUGAGAGGCAGAGAGAGAGAGAACGAGUCUGACGAAGUAGAGACCCUCCGUAAAAGCUUUUAAUAUAGAGAGAAAAGAGAUUAAAUGCAAUAAAUAGAUCAUAUUUCUGAACGGAUGUGGCCACAUGAAGCUGUCAUCGGGGUGAGAAGUCGACGAGGCACCAACGGAGAAUCGGAGUGUUGCAAAUGAGCUUGUUUCUUUGAAUAUAUGUGAAGUUAUUGCCUUGGUGAGUCUCAUUCUAAGUCAUAUCAUAUUAUGUGAGAAAAGAGUCACUAACUCAAUAAGUAAAUUGAUAUGAGAAGUGACUUAUAUAUAUGCCGAUUUAUAUGCGCUGUAGUAAUAGCACAAGGGCUACUCGAGUGCUAACGAGCUAAUGAGAUGUCAUGAAAUGUGACGAUUAAGUGUCAAUAAGUUCAAAAAGUGUUGAAAUGAUGAGUUAAUGUAUUAUUUGAAGUGUAUACAAGAUAUUUGCUGUUGAUGUUUGAAUUUGAUAUUAAUUGUUUUGCUUUGUUUAUGCAAGGCUAGGUUUUUUUCCUAUGUUUAUUUCUACGUGAUCUCCUGCGAGAGUUUACUGUUUUGUGCCAUAUUUAUGGUGCGUUCAAGUCAUGUCGGAAAGAUCGUAUUUACGAGCAGAACCGACAUGAACGAGACCACAAUGUCGUAAAUACCAGUGGGAAGCUCGUAAUUUUCUUUAAGCUCCGAUCUGUACGAGUUGGGGGCGUGUCAGUCAGAAACAUAGUGAAAUACCACAAUACUUACAGGUAUUUAGCAGUGACAUUGUCAGGCUUUUCUGUUUGCAAUGAAGUAAGCUGAUUACCAGUAAAAAAAAAAAUACGAAUGCAUCACAAUAUAAAAAUGUAAUAUGUAACAAUAAAGUUUACAAUGGCUUCAUAAAUUAAUAAUAAAAAAAAAAAAGCAACAUACAACUAAUGCACAUUCUUUGCUCUACAUUUUUUAGAAGCAGAAGUGUUGUUAUUUUGUGUAAUUAAUUUAGAGAAGGCACACCGCCAUCAUACUCAGACAAAAGUGACUUGAACGUACAGUCGUACACACGACUUCCCACCUCGUAAAUACGAACUUCCCAGGAGGACUUGGACGCACAAUUAAUCCUUUUGGAGAAGAAUUGUCUGUGUAUCAGACGCAAUUAAAUGUGCACAAUGGUGAGCUACCCAUGGACCUGGUUCCACUUUGAACUGCUUUGAAAUCAUCAACUGUGAUAGUCCCUAAGACAGUUCUUUUCAUUUGAGAAGCACAGGCGAACAUGCACUUGAUACAGUGUAUUUGUGUAUCCAUUAUUGCAGUGUCUGCAGCAUCCUCUCUUCGUUUUUACUGGUAAAUGUGCAGUCAUGUCUUUGUGUACAUCCAGACGGGGUGGUCCGAUGACAUCUUGGCAUUCUGAAAUGGAAAAAGUUAAAAAAAAAAUGUGUAUAAAUGUGUAAAAAAAAGGGAAUAAUACAUAUGGGUCUUAUAUUGUAGUAGAUAAACUGAAAAAAUAGACAGGGUGGUAGACCAUGUGUUGAGGGUAGAGAUCUAAGAAUUAUCCAUCAAAGUAUUAUAAUUUCAAUGCAAAUGCUAAUCAAAAUUCUAAUCAAAAUACUGUCUGGAUCACCUAU